GAGUUUGAUCCUGGCUCAGGAUGAACGCUGGCGGCGUGCCUAAUACAUGCAAGUCGAGCGAAUGGAUUAAGAGCUUGCUCUUAUGAAGUUAGCGGCGGACGGGUGAGUAACACGUGGGUAACCUGCCCAUAAGACUGGGAUAACUCCGGGAAACCGGGGCUAAUACCGGAUAAUAUUUUGAACUGCAUGGUUCGAAAUUGAAAGGCGGCUUCGGCUGUCACUUAUGGAUGGACCCGCGUCGCAUUAGCUAGUUGGUGAGGUAACGGCUCACCAAGGCAACGAUGCGUAGCCGACCUGAGAGGGUGAUCGGCCACACUGGGACUGAGACACGGCCCAGACUCCUACGGGAGGCAGCAGUAGGGAAUCUUCCGCAAUGGACGAAAGUCUGACGGAGCAACGCCGCGUGAGUGAUGAAGGCUUUCGGGUCGUAAAACUCUGUUGUUAGGGAAGAACAAGUGCUAGUUGAAUAAGCUGGCACCUUGACGGUACCUAACCAGAAAGCCACGGCUAACUACGUGCCAGCAGCCGCGGUAAUACGUAGGUGGCAAGCGUUAUCCGGAAUUAUUGGGCGUAAAGCGCGCGCAGGUGGUUUCUUAAGUCUGAUGUGAAAGCCCACGGCUCAACCGUGGAGGGUCAUUGGAAACUGGGAGACUUGAGUGCAGAAGAGGAAAGUGGAAUUCCAUGUGUAGCGGUGAAAUGCGUAGAGAUAUGGAGGAACACCAGUGGCGAAGGCGACUUUAUGGGCUGUAACUGACACUGAGGCGCGAAAGCGUGGGGAGCAAACAGGAUGAGAGACCCUGGGAGUCC
rnacentral:rRNA from 1 species